AUGUUACAUUUAAAAACAUAAAGGAAAUAGCUGGAUCACGACUCGACACCAUAAUGGCAGAAAACAAGCUUCAAACAUAAAAUCAUUACCAGAAAAAUGAAAUAGUUAUAAAUUCGAUUUUUACAGCCAUUUUCAUCGUCUCCUAUUUCAGUAUUCAAAUAGCAAAUCUCAAAUUAGGAAUGAUCUAUUGAAUGUAAACACCAGGAUACAAAGAAAGUCUCUUCUAAGAGUUGACACUGGUCCAAAAUGGUUACAUUGGCCAUUCACCUCUUCAUUAUACACAAUGGCUGAGUUAGCACAAAGCGUUGACAAUGGUUAAUUCUGUCCAUAACUAAGAGUCGAAGAAUGCAAACUGCUGGUCAUACCUCAAUAAGAGUGGAAAUAAUUGACUCUUGGCCUUCUCUUGACCAGUGUCUGUUGAUGGAGAUGGCUGUAUUCUGCAAUCAGAAAGAAAUAAGAUAAAUGAUCGUAAUUAUCGAAUAUAAAAUGGUUAAGAAAUUCGUUGAAAACUCAUUUCUUCUGGAAUUGACAGGAUUAUUGAUAUGUAAAGACACCUCCAUAAUUAUUGGUGAAAGGAAAGACAUAUAACAGAGGCAAGAAAAUAGGAAAAGGAAAGAGAGAG
rnacentral:lncRNA from 1 species